rnacentral:rRNA from 1 species
GGCUCAGAUUGAACGCUGGCGGCAGGCCUAACACAUGCAAGUCGAGCGGUAGAGAGGUGCUUGCAUCUCUUGGGAGCGGCGGACGGGUGAGUAAUGCCUAGGAAUCUGCCUAGUGGUGGGGGAUAACGUUCGGAAACGGACGCUAAUACCGCAUACGUCCUACGGGAGAAAGCGGGGGAUCUUCGGACCUCGCGCCAUUAGAUGAGCCUAGGUCGGAUUAGCUAGUAGGUGAGGUAAUGGCUCACCUAGGCGACGAUCCGUAACUGGUCUGAGAGGAUGAUCAGUCACACUGGAACUGAGACACGGUCCAGACUCCUACGGGAGGCAGCAGUGGGGAAUAUUGGACAAUGGGCGAAAGCCUGAUCCAGCCAUGCCGCGUGUGUGAAGAAGGUCUUCGGAUUGUAAAGCACUUUAAGUUGGGAGGAAGGGCAGUAAGUUAAUACCUUGCUGUUUUGACGUUACCAACAGAAUAAGCACCGGCUAACUUCGUG